UACGGGGGGAGCAAGCGUUGUUCGGAUUUACUGGGCGUAAAGGGCGCGUAGGCGGCCACCGCAAGUCGGUUGUGAAAUCUCUGGGCUUAACCCAGAAAGGUCAACCGAUACUGCGGGGCUAGAGUGCAGAAGGGGCAACUGGAAUUCUCGGUGUAGCGGUGAAAUGCGUAGAUAUCUGGAGGAAUACCCGUGGCGAAGGCGGCGCCCUGGUCCGUUACUGACGCUGAGACGCGAAAGCGCGGGGAGCGAACGGG
rnacentral:rRNA from 1 species